GACGAACGCUGGCGGCGUGCUUAACACAUGCAAGUCGAACGUGAUUUUUAUGGAAAGCCCUUCGGGGACGGAAGUAAAAUGAAAGUGGCGAACGGGUGAGUAACACGUGAGCAACCUACCUUACACAGGGGGAUAGCCGUUGGAAACGACGAUUAAUACCGCAUGAGACCACAAAGCCNCAUGGCUUAGGGGUAAAAGAUUUAUCGGUGUAAGAUGGGCUCGCGUCUGAUUAGCUAGUUGGAAGGGUAAAGGCCUACCAAGGCGACGACCAGUAGCCGGUCUGAGAGGAUGAACGGCCACAUUGGAACUGAGACACGGUCCAAACUCCUACGGGAGGCAGCAGUGGGGAAUAUUGCACAAUGGGGGGAACCCUGAUGCAGCGACGCCGCGUGAGCGAAGAAGGUUUUCGAAUCGUAAAGCUCUGUCCUAUGAGAAGAUAAUGACGGUAUCAUAGGAGGAAGCCCCGGCUAAAUACGUGCCAGCAGCCGCGGUAAUACGUAUGGGACGAGCGUUGUCCGGAAUUAUUGGGCGUAAAGGGUACGUAGGCGGCCUUUUAAGUCAGGUGUGAAAGCGUGAGGCUUAACCUCAUUAAGCACUUGAAACUGGAAGGCUUGAGUGAAGGAGAGGAAAGUGGAAUUCCUAGUGUAGCGGUGAAAUGCGUAGAUAUUAGGAGGAAUACCGGUGGCGAAGGCGACUUUCUGGACUUUUACUGACGCUCAGGUACGAAAGCGUGGGGAGCAAACAGG
rnacentral:rRNA from 1 species